CCGAGUGAGGGUCCUCUCGGGCCCGACCUCCCAACCCUAUGUUUACUGAACCUCUGUUGCUUCGGCGGACCCGCCUCACGGCCGCCGGAGGAUUGCCACAAAUCCUCUGGCCCGCGUCCGCCGACGGCCACUCUUAAACUCUGUAUGAAUCGUGUCAUAAUGUCUAAGUACAAUGAUUAAAUUAAAAGCA
rnacentral:misc_RNA from 1 species